CGUUGGGCCCUGGAGCGGUACCGUGGCCUGGUGCUGUGUCGAGACAAUGAACGGCACCGGUAUUGGUGCCGGAUCCAGGACCUGCUCCAUGAAGGCGACCGGUGGGCAGAGCAGCACCAUGAUCAGGAGCAUCGACGUGAACCGGAGUGAUGCCACGAGUACGUCCAGCGUCGCGAGUAUGACCGGCACUGCAAUGGACAGCAGUGCCUGGACUCCAAACGGUGCCGAGAAUGGGAGCGGUGCCAAGGCUGGGGCACAGUGCCGACGGUCAGAUCAACGCCGACAGUGCCGACGGUCAGAUCAACGCCAGCUUGCCUUGAGAUGGUGCCAUCUGCUGGGGCACCAGAGGCUUGGCAUGGAACAGAGGGGACCCCGAUGCCGUCAUGGCGAUGAGGUCCCUCGCAGCCGCAAAGGUGUCCGGGUGGAAGGAGCUGGACUUCCACAACGCUGUGGGUUGGGGAAUCCAAAGGCACCAGACUCAAUGGUUCCCCCAACGAGUCCAAAGUCGAUGGUGCUGCGUCCACAAACUUCGCUGCCAGGCGCUCCCCUCCAGGAUGUGCCACAUUGGCUGGCUCCAGGGAAGUGGGUCUCUGUGAAGGAGAGCCACCCUUCUCCAACUUUCGGUGUCGCUUCAGUGCCGGGGAUUGGGAGUGGUGCCGAGUCAAUGUUGCUGGCUUUGGUGCUGGGGAACGGCUGUGCCGCGGGGAACGGCCAGACUCAACUGCAGUGCCACCUCCACUACCGCCGCCGGGGUGCUGCGCACCGAAGAACGUGGUGCCGGGUCCUGCGACGCCGAAGGAGGCUGGGGACUAAGUGCCGAAAGUCUCGCUCCUUUUUAGUCCAAGGACAAAAUCCCUUACAGAUCCUGCACUUCUUGGCUUGGUGAGCCUCCCCCAGACACUUUAAACAAGAGUCAUGGGGGUCGCCCAUUGGCAUGGGCUUGGAGCAGGACUUGCAGGGCUUGAAUCCUGGGGACUUGGGCAUGAAGCCCCGAAGAAAAAUAGUCGGGGUGGAGAGUAAUCCCCCAACCCAACUGCUACUAACUAAAACAAAAAC
rnacentral:lncRNA from 1 species